UCAUUGCGCAGAAAAUAAACAAAAGAAGAAAAAAUAAAGUGAACAAAUAUAUAAAACACCAGGAAAAGUUAAAAAAAAUGUUGAAGAUUUAAUUAAUUUAUUUUUUUUACUGCAAUAAUGUUAUCAAUAUUUACAUAUAGCAUUAUAAAGUAAAUGAGAAAUACGAAACGAAAGUUAAGUUAAAUUUGUAAUAAUUUUAAUUCUUUGAAUGUAAUCGAUUUUCCACAUGUGUUAAAUUUGGAUACCAGGAGAGCGAUUUGCAACAGGAAACUUAAAAGGAACUAAAGUAAGCCUAUUAAACAUUUAUUACCCAGUCUCCUAAUCAUUUUAAUGAAUAUUUCCAUUUCCCUGGUCUUAAUUGUAAUUUUCUGUUAUAAAACUUUAUACUUCAGUACAUUUGGUUGCAUAUACGUUUUCAUGUAAAUAGUAAAUUCUCCUGUCACCGGGAUUUUUUUAGAGUAGUUAUAUGAAAUUUAGUUUAUUUGAUGGUUCUUCUCAAUUCAAAUGAUACAUGAUGCAAAAAACUAAACCCAUUACAAAAUCUAACCUAUUUCUAAGGAAAAAUGAUAGGAUUUACAGAGGUCAUUUCAUCCCAUGAAGGCGAGUUACACGUGUUGUACAAGAUGUGUCAAGGAGAAAGUAACAAUCAGGGUAUACUAAUUACAGAAGAGAGAGAGAGGUUUAAAGUAUCUCUUCAUUCUAAUACUUGGAUUAUACAACGGGUACUAAACUUGCUAGACAGGAAAGAGAAACUGAGGACUGUGGGACGGCUGUGUCACGUGACAUCUUCUUCCUCACACCUCCAGGUUUUUCAGAGAAAGAAACGAUUGUAGUGAUGGGUAACACAUUUUGCUUCAUGGUACUUCUGCUUCUUUUUCCAGAGAGUGGACAGAGCAGCACUAUAGCUUGUACAUCGAGAGAUGAAGAGCUCUCUUAUGACCGCAGUGUACUUGCAGAAAACACGUUCGCCAACUUUACUUAUCAGCUAAAAUCGAUGGCGAAUAUUGAAAAAUCUGAUUAUCGCAUCGAAAUAAAGCUAUGUGACAUUGGUACACUCUAUGAAUCGUGUAGGUGCCGAUGGUUCUUAAAUUCUGAUCCAGUCUGCAGAAGUAUGAAAAAUGAUUCGUUCUGUGAUGCCGACGAAUCCGAAAUGCGGGUUUCUUUGCUCAUCAGGAGAACUUAUACUGAUGUUUUAUGGGUGCUUUUAAAACAGAGCUCACCCCCAUCUGUUCUGAAGCACACAACUGUACAAGUCACUUACCAGGCAAAAAUCACAGAUUUGUAUUUAAAUGGACAGGAGGCUAACGGGACACACAUCGUUGACGAAAAUGAGGAUGUCAACAUUUCAUGUUUCUUUAUAAAUGGAAAUCCUCCGGUCAGCAUCCGCAUGGUGGACGGCACUGGUCACACUCUCAGCUCUGUGAGACAUGGUCAGGGUCCUCUAACACUGUCACUAGGAGUGGUCCACUGUCACAAUGUGUGGCCGACCAUCAGGUGUGAGGCGCCUGGCUCAGAACUGAACAAAUCUGUGGUCAUCCUUGUGAUAUGUCGACCCCAGCUGUCCUACAUAAGUAAACAAGUCACAGAUGUACAGAAAGUUUUAACUGAAGGUCUGACAUUGGCUAUGAGAUCCUACACCAGAAACAUCAGGAAGUGUCUGAUGACCCAGGUACAGCCGAUUACUUCCACCAGGGAAGUGAAAUGCGAAGUGAGUGGACAUGCCCCUGUAUCAAACUAACCCUGAGCUCUUUCGAUGAAACCUGGAUUGGAGAAGGGGUCUGGACAUUGCAUGUUGUCAGCGAGCAAGGGGACUCAAGCAUUACUUUCCAUCUCGUCAACAGCACUGACAGGCUCGCUGUUUUCCAUGGAAUCAGCUGGAACAUAUUUCUAGUGAUCUGGACACAUUCCAGGCUCACAAGAGGAGGAGUAACUACAAGGCAGAUCAAUUUAUUCUGUGAAGCUUAGUUUACUUUUAAUUUAAUGACACUCUACUUGAUGCUGAGGGGAUCAAAGAUUUCUGUUGUUAACCACAACAAUGGAUUAAGAUUUAUUUCUGAAAGAAUAAAAACCAGAUAUUACCAAUGUCAAAAUGAUUUAUUGCGCCCAUUUUAUUUUGUGAGCAUGCGGGCAAUUUAAUUAAAUUCACUAAAAUUAAAAAAUUGCAACGGAAAUGAAAUACAUCGGCUUAAAGCAGUUUGAUAUGUAGACAGAAAUUGCGUGGUCGUAGACAAGGGAGGUAAUCACUACCUUAAAGUCGUGCAGUUUAGUCAUUAAUGCCCUUGGCAUAUCUCUAGAUAUACGACUUUCCUGUCCAAGAGUCGCUCUUUAUCCACUCACAUGAUGUUUCUGGACCCUUAACAACGUCAUCGAUGUCAGCAU
rnacentral:misc_RNA from 1 species